AACCUAGCACACCUGCGGUGUGUACCUGCGGAGGGAUCAUUACCUAGAGUUGUAGGCUUUGCCUGCUAUCUCUUACCCAUGUCUUUUGAGUACCUUACGUUUCCUCGGUGGGUUCGCCCGCCGGUUGGACAAAACUUAAACCCUUUGUAGUUGCAAUCAGCGUCUGAAAAAACUUAACAGUUACAACUUUUAGCAACGGAUCU
rnacentral:misc_RNA from 1 species